ACCUUGGGUGGUAUGUUAAAGUCUCUCUCUCUUUCUUUCUCUCUCUCUCUCUCCCCGCACCGUCUCCUCCAUCAUCUUCACAGAUACGUUUCUCUCUGCACUGUCUCCUCCUUCAUCUUCACAGACGCGCUGCAGAAAUUCGUCGGCAGCACUCUCUCUUCCCUCAUCUUCACAGAGACAAGCUAAACCUCGUCUUUCUCUCCCUUUCUCUCGGUGCAGCUAGAACAGUGGAACCCAGGAACUCUCCGACGAGUUCUCUUGAUCCUUCUCCGGUUAGGUUUUAGAAGGAGAUUGACCCGGGGGAAGGCACACCCAGCUCCGGCGAGGCCGUGAAUGUCGACGAACUUUCCGAAUACCUUCAACCGUUUCACGGCAAACAGAAGUUAUAAAAACAUUCCUCUCGUCUUCUAUUUAAUUUUGAUACCUAGAUCGGAGUCUAGGGUGCUCUUUUACAGUAGGCCGGAGCUGUAGAAGCUCCGGCGUUCUUCUCCGAUUUGCACAGAUCCAAAAUUUCACGAUAUUAUCGGUAAUAUCGCGAUAUUAUCGAUAAUAUCGCGAUAUUUUGACGAAAACUCCUUGGAUACCUAUUAAAAUAUCGCUAAAGCAAAAAACCGAUAAUAUCGACGAAAUAUCGCCGAUAUUAUUGACAUUUAAGACAUUGGUUGUAAUGAAAGUUAUGAACAGAUGUUGGUGUGCCCUUAUUUUGUC